UAAAGGCAUGCAAAGAAUCAUGGGAGUUGUAGUUCUACAACAUCUGGUGAUCUACCUUUUGGGCACUUCUGCUGUGGAGCAUAUUAUUCUGCAACAGACUGGGUAACAUGCUGCGAAUGUCUGUACAGAAUUGUAUGCUCUAUAGAAAUACCCCCUUUAAUAUGGAAUAUACAACAGAUCACAUUAACAUGCUGAAUACUAGACUCUUCGAACAGGCUGUAUAAUAACCAGUAAAUAGUAUAACAUUCUAUGACAGCCUGUGUACUAUGUAUUUUAACCUGCUGUUUAGGACAGUAUGCUGUGACAGGCUGUAUUGCAUGCUGUAAAGGGAGUUAUAAAUUAUACUGUGUUGUGACAUACACACUGAGUGUAUGCUUUUCUUAUUUUCCCAUGGAGAAAUGGAUUGGGUUUGGGGAAAGAAAAAAAAGACACUUUACUCCCCAUAAACACACUUGAACAAAAACAAGCAAUCCUGUUGUAAAUCUUGCAGCUUUCCAUGUCACAUCAUCAAACACAUUACCAUCUCUUGGGAAGGAUUUUGUUUAAAAAGCAGCCAUGCCUCCUGAUGUCAUUCUAAUAGAUAUUUGCUUUCUGUAAAUUGAUGUUAUUUCCC